rnacentral:misc_RNA from 1 species
GAUGAAGAACGCAGCGAAAUGCGAUACGUAAUGUGAAUUGCAAAUUCAGUGAAUCAUCGAGUCUUUGAACGCACAUUGCGCCCGCCAGUAUUCUGGCGGGCAUGCCUGUUCGAGCGUCAUUUCAACCAUCAAGCCCCCGGCUUGUGUUGGGGACCUGCGGCUGCCGCAGGCCCUGAAAAGCAGUGGCGGGCUCGCUGUCACACCGAGCGUAGUAGCAUACAUCUCGCUCUGGGCGUGCUGCGGGUUCCGGCCGUUAAACCACCUUCAUAACCCAAGGUUGACCUCGGAUCAGGUAGGAAGACCCGCUGAACUUAAGCAUAUCAAUAAGCGGAGGA